rnacentral:rRNA from 1 species
UACGAAGGGUGCAAACGUUGUUCGGAAUCAUUGGGCGUAAAGCGCGCGUAGGCGGCCUUGCAAGUCGGAUGUGAAAUCCCACGGCUCAACCGUGGACGUGCAUCCGAAACUGCUCGGCUCGAGUAUGGAAGAGGGUCGCGGAAUUCCCGGUGUAGAGGUGAAAUUCGUAGAUAUCAGGAGGAACACCGGUGGCGAAGGCGGGUCUCUGGGCCGAUACUGACGCUGAGGAGCGAAAGCGUGGGGAGCGAACAGG